CCCCUCCAGGGGCAGUGUUCACAGAUGGGUGUGGGGGUGAGGAGUUACUGGUGAGGCUCUCCAGGAAGGGGGUUUGCAGGCUACCCUUGCACCCUGCGUUUGCAGUUUGAGUUUGGAGCGAGUGUAUGAGCUUCUGCUUGCUUGAAGGUGGCUCAGGAUCCCAGUGACUGAACGAGCAGGGACAGGAGCUGGUCUGCUGAGAAAGCUGGCAAGCCUGAGUGCUAGGAGUGCAGAACUCAGUGGUUUGCUACAACUCUCUCCUCGAUGAUAAAGCUUCAGUUACGAAUGCUGUACGACAGAGGAAGGCUUUAACGCUUGUGCUGCUACUUUGGCCUUGGAGACUUCUGACACAGCCCAAUUUCCUGAGCAGAGACCUGUUUGCAGGGCUUGCAAGGCAUUGCUUCUGCUCCUGUGUUACAGGGUCAGCCUGGAUUUCAAGAGGAUGCAGUAGACUUCAUGCUUUCCUGGAGGGAAAGUGACAGGUGCCACAUUUCUUUGUGUGUGCAAGUCUGUAACUGUCUCGUGGCAUUCUAGUACUUCUCCCAAGAUGAGUGGAGGUUGUACUGGUCAAGAAUUGAAGUGGAAAGAAUAUGAAAAGGGUGCAGUGCGGGGCAAUUUCAAAUAAAACUGUGUGAACUUCAGAGGCAGCAGCUAAUGCUGCUUUUCUCAUGUGGCAGCCAUUUAUUUCCUCAUAAAACAUAGGACACAGUCUUCCCAAACCAGCUCUGGUGCUGGGAGAAGCACUAGAAGUUCAGGUUUGCUCUGCACUGUGUUUUACUCAAUGCCUCUUAUGGAAAUAGAAGCUUGGGCUUCCUAGACUCCUGUUCUUUGUUCCUCUGUGGCUUGCUGCAUGUGUUUGAAUCGAUAUCUUUUCACAGUUGUAUUUACUGGACUUCAAACUGCACUAUUACAGCAUCUCAUGCACAUACAUGUAAAGAAGUGGGGAAACAUCAGCUGCAGCAGCUGCACUGCUUGGGUUUCUGCUCUCCGUGGCCUUGCAUUAAGUGACCACAUUUUCCCUGCAUUUAUUCUGUUGUCAGGUUAACUGUGUAUGAGUCUUCCACUCCUGCCAUGGAGGGAGAGGAGGGCUUCCUACAGGAGCACACAAGCCUCAUUGCUGUCAGCCAUCUAGCUGCAGCAUUCUGGAUUGGCAGUGCUACCGUCUAUCUUAUAGUGGCAAUACUGUUUAUUACACCAACGAACUAUUCACCUCUGCAACAAAGCUCCAGCUACACUCUGUUAUGCCCCAGGUGUGCUUAGUUCAUAUGUAGUUUACCCAUCAUUUACUCAUCUCCUGAAUAUGCCUCAGGGCUGAUUUAAGCACUGAUCACCAAGCUACUCACCUACUUCCUCUACUAGGAGUUGAACAGAGGUGUUUAUUAUCCUAUCUUGCUCAUUCUCUAAGUAACUCAUUCUGAAGAGCUUCCUAAGGGCUGCCUUUGGAGCUGCUUCAUUUAUUCUUUUGCCACUGUUUCCUAUGCAAAUUUGUGGGUUUUUUUUUAGGAAGCCCAAGCCAAAAUGAUUCCCCCAAGUUUGUCAACAGAUCACUAAUUGCUCUGGGGGGAGUUGCUGUUAACGGGGUCAGGAAACAUUCCUCUGUUUUAAUUUAGGGAAUAUAAAAUUAACGAGGUUGCACCUACUGGGAUAGUGACAUGCCCAUUUGUUUUAUUAACAGCAGACACAGUUUUAUUAGAAAAACAAAGUAGAAAAAGAUCUACUGGGACAAACUCACAAGCAUCACUUGAACAAGGUCAAAUCUCUUAUUAUUCUGGUCUGAUCACACUGGAGCUGAAAGUGAGCUGUGCUCUUGGGAUUCACACCUGAUCUGGUGGUUAGUGUUGUGUUCAGCACUCCCCUGAUCCUAUCCCAGCUUAUCAGCAGUGUUUAUUUUGUUCCGCUGUGUGAUCCUGUACCAACACUUGGCUGCUGUUGUCUGGCUGUUAAAGCCCUGGUGCUCGCUGGCAGGGACUGCUUACUGUGAUUCUUCUCUUGGACAAGAGACCUCAAAGGACUGGGGCCCUUGAAACUUUCUCAGGGAGAAGCUAAACAAUUCUUUCAGACCACGGUGUCCAAACAGAACCAUUUUGCCUUUACAGUGAACUAGUAGGAUCUCCCUGUACUGCUUUUCCUGAACACUUUCUGCAUUGCUGGCAGGCAUUGUGCUAGCCCACAAUGGAGCUGCAGCCAACCCUGCCUUCAUUAUGGUGCUCACUUUCCUUGCUCUCUUUGGCAAGCUCUCUCCCUGUUUGCAGUGCUUCCCCUGGACAAUUUCAACAGUAGGUUGGUGGGUAGCUGAGCACUGGUCCCAUUACCCUGGUUUCAU